GCAUAACGCGAAGAACCUUACCCACCUUUGACAUGUACGGAAUCCUUUAGAGAUAGAGGAGUGCUCGAAAGAGAGCCGUAACACAGGUGCUGCAUGGCUGUCGUCAGCUCGUGUCGUGAGAUGUUGGGUUAAGUCCCGCAACGAGCGCAACCCUUGCCAUUAGUUGCUACAUUUAGUUGAGCACUCUAAUGGGACUGCCGGUGACAAACCGGAGGAAGGUGGGGAUGACGUCAAGUCCUCAUGGCCCUUAUAGGUGGGGCUACACACGUCAUACAAUGGCUGGUACAAAGGGUUACCAACCCGCGAGGGGGAGCUAAUCCCAUAAAGCCAGUCGUAGUCCGGAUCGCAGUCUGCAACUCGACUGCGUGAAGUCGGAAUCGCUAGUAAUCGUGGAUCAGAAUGUCACGGUGAAUACGUUCCCGGGUCUUGUACACACCG
rnacentral:rRNA from 1 species